CAUUAAUGAAUGGCCAUCUAUGGCCUUCGACCCUUCAAAUUCCGUGGAGGUAAAGUGUGUUUCGGCGCUUUGGCGCCGCCUUUAUGCUGUAAAGUCUGUGUCUGAAUCUAAAAUAUAGUCUAAAACUUUCAACAAAGGAUCUCUUGGCUCUCGCAUCGAUGAAGAACGCAGCGAAGCGCGAAAUGUAGUGUGAAUCGCAGAACAUUGUGAAUCAUCGAAUCUUUGAACGCACAUUGCGCCUCCCUUAACCGGGGGGCAUGCCUGUCUGAGCGUCAUUUAAACCUAUGGACCCGAUUGGGUUCCGUGUUGGGCCUCGCAUCUAUCUUAGCGGCGUUGCCUCGAAAGUAUCGGUUUCACAGAGCGGACGGGAUCCUUAUGGACUGACCGUUUCGUGGCCGGAGUUUGACUCUGACUUGACCUCAGAUCAGGUAGGGAUACCGCC
rnacentral:rRNA from 1 species